AUACGGAGGAUCCGAGCGUUAUCCGGAUUUAUUGGGUUUAAAGGGUGCGCAGGCGGCCAUUUAAGUCAGCGGUUAAAUCGUGGGGCUCAACCCCAUUCUGCCGUUGAUACUGGGUGGCUUGAUUGCGGUCGAGGUUGGCGGAAUUCGUUGUGUAGCGGUGAAAUGCAUAGAUAUGACGAAGAACACCGAUUGCGUAGGCAGCUGACCAGACCGCAAAUGACGCUCAUGCACGAAAGUUCGGGGAUCGAACAGGAUUAGAUACCCUGUUAGUCCGCACAGUAAACGAUGAAUACUUGUUUUCGGCGAUAUAAUGUCGGAGGCAAAGCGAAAGCGAUAAGUAUUCCACCUGGGGAGUACGCCGGCAACGGUGAAACUCAAAUGAAUUGGCGGGG
rnacentral:rRNA from 1 species